UGAACGCUGGCGGCGUGCCUACCACAUGCACGUCGAACGGAGUCCAGCCUUUAAGACCUUCGGGUCAAAGAGGGGAAGACUGAGUGGCGGACGGGUGAGUAACACGUGGGCAACCUGGCUCAUAGAGGGGGAUAACAGAGAGAAAUUUCUGCUAAUACCGCAUAAGCACACACUGCCGCAUGGCAGAGGGUGAAAAGAGAAUCGCUAUGAGAUGGAACCGCGUCUGAUUAGCCAGUUGGCAGGGUAAGAGCCUACCAAAGCGACGAUCAGUAGCCGAUCUGAGAGGAUGAACGGCCACAUUGGGACUGAGACACGGCCCAAACUCCUACGGGAGGCAGCAGUGGGGGAUAUUGCACAAUGGAGGGAACCCUGAUGCAGCGACGCCGCGUGAGUGAAGAAGUAUUUCGGUAUGUAAAGCUCUAUCAACAGGGAAGAUAAUGACAGUACCUGAAUAAGAAGCCCCGGCUAACUACGUG
rnacentral:rRNA from 1 species